UCCAGGUCCUCCGGGUUGCUUGGCAUGGGC
rnacentral:piRNA from 1 species